rnacentral:rRNA from 1 species
UACGAAGGGGGGCUAGCGUUGCUCGGAAUUACUGGGCGUAAAGGGCGCGUAGGCGGGUUGCUAAGUUAGAGGUGAAAGCCCAGGGCUCAACCCUGGAAUUGCCUUUAAUACUGGCAGCCUUGAGUAUGGCAGAGGUGUGUGGAACUCCGAGUGUAGAGGUGAAAUUCGUAGAUAUUCGGAAGAACACCAGUGGCGAAGGCGACACACUGGGCCAUUACUGACGCUGAGGCGCGAAAGCGUGGGGAGCAAACAGG